GGGGAUAUAGCUCAAUGGUAGAGCACUUGCCUAACAUGCAUGAGGUCCUGCAUUAGAGUCCCAGCUUCACCA
rnacentral:tRNA from 1 species